rnacentral:snoRNA from 1 species
GCAGAAGUCUAUCCUGAUGGGGCUUCUCCAGUAGCUACACAAUGAUGGACACGCCUCACAUAGUAACUUGUGGUUUUGCUUGACUCAAGACUGUUUAUUAGGUCUGUGGGAAGGAACUACAAAAUAGCA